UUUAAGAGUAGGUGAUCAGCACCAGCACAGAUGAGCCUCAGUAAAGAUUUUAGGUGAAUCGGACCUGUGAGAAAAUGCCAAGCAGCCUCCACGCUUUAGUGGUGAUUCUGGGGGUAUGGGUAAUAUCAGGUGAGUAAAUGUUUGGCAGGAAUAAAAAAAUAUCUUUAUUGUUGAUGUGAUUUGGUGGUUUAAUAUCCUUUCCAUGGUUUCUUAGUGCUAGGUAUAAUUCUUAAUAUAGACCUGUUGUGUAUACACUAAACAUGUUGCCUCGUCUCAAUCUUUUGAGACACUCCUAUCUCUAAACCCAUACAAAUGCUGCAUGUCAGAUCCAUCCCAUUGCGUGUCAGAUUCAUCCCAUACCUUAAUCCCUUUCAGGUGCAUUCUCUGAAGUCUCCAUCAUUGGACUGCCAGCAACGACAAUGUUGCCUGAGAAUAGCCCAGCAGGCACAGAGGUCUUCAGCUUUCAGGUGUCCUUCUCUGCUGGAGAGAGCAUGGCAGCGGGUUUCCCAAGACUGCUGAACUUUAACCCUCUCACAGAUGCUUUCGCUGUGUCUAUGGAGAAUGCCACUCAUGCCAAGGUGGGUAUAUUUUCACUUUUACUGUGUUACAAUUUUUUUUUUUUAUGUUGGCCCUGUCAAUUUUUCAUGCCUCGUGUUUUGUAAAACAUUAAUUUGCUAUUACCUUAAUGUACUAUUAUUUUAUAGGCUAUGUAAGAAAUUAUUGAAUUGAUGAAAUAUUUGUUUAAAACAAUAUUCAAAACAUUCAGCAUAUUGCACAUACUUGCAGAUAUUCACAGAUAUGGUCAUUUGUCGAUUUUAGGUCUUAGUGACUGGUUCCCCUGACUUGGAUUUUGAGACUGUUCCAAAUCGCUUCAUUUUCCAAAUCCUUGCUGUGGGCUCUGAUGGAAACGGUGACAGUGAAACACUAACAGUGCUCCUCACAGAUGUAGACGAACCUCCACUUUUCUUGGAUGAAGCAUCAGUCCUUUAUAUCCUUGAGAAGACACCCCCAGGACAGAUUUAUGAACCAAGUGUUUCUGAUCCAGAGAACAAACCUCUCUCUUUUAUGCUCAUUCCUGUGAACCCCACAUUCAGUGUAGAUGGAAGUAAAGGCACAGUUUUUACCACAAAGGAGUUAA